GAUGCUCCGCUGCUUUGACCGACCCCGCUCUCGCCGCCUCUGAAGCCGCCUUGGACUCUGUCUUGCAAGACACCAACCAGCUGCCUCCUGGACCUGGACCUGAUCUGGACUCUUGGGACUCAGGAUGGGAUAUUACCAAAAGCUCCCUAAAGGCUCAGAUGUUCUGAAAACUUGUAAAACAGGACAUGCCAUAUCGCAAGACUGGACCCUCAACCUAAAGGUAACAUCGAAACAAGUGGAAGUCCGCACAAAAUCAACUGAAGCAUCCUAUUCUGUGACAGCCCUGAUUACUCUACUGCAAAUCCCUCACCCUUUAUAACCCAAUAAAAUCUCACAGCCCCAACCUUUUGGGGCCAGUGCAACUCUGCACUUAGGCCCCUUUCCUCUCUUGGAAAGUGAAUAAACUUUGCUCUCCAUA